rnacentral:rRNA from 1 species
UAGGGAAUAUUGGUAAUGUGCGAAAGCGCGAACCAGCAACGCCGCGUGCACGAUGAAGGCCUUCGGGUCGUACAGGGCUUUUAGAGAGGAUGAGGAAGGACAGUACUUUCUGAAUAAGCCUCGGCUAACUCCGUGCCAGCAGCCGCGGUAAUACGGAGGGUGCGAGCGUUAUCCGGAUUUACUGGGUUUAAAGGGUGCGUAGGUGGGCUUAUAAGUCAGUGGUGAAAUCUCCGAGCUUAACUUGGAAACUGCCGUUGAUACUAUAGGUCUUGUAUUAUCUCGGGGUAAGCGGAAUAUGUGAUGUAGCGGUGGAAUGCUUAGAUAUCACAUAGAACACC